rnacentral:lncRNA from 1 species
AUUAACAGGAGGAGAAUCGGAGUUCAGCCCAUCCCAAGAGCCUAUUAUUCCAAUGACUGUAAAUAAUUUCCAGUUUGGCGUUAGCUGAUGCAGAAGUUAGUUAUCUUCUGCAAUGGUCUGGCGAUCUUGGCCCCUAACUCCAUAGUGAGGAAGGAAUAGGCAAAUUUGAGCUAAGAAGGCAGGGGCCUAUAUGAGGAAAUGGAAAGAGGGGAACCGCUGCCUGCACUGCUCUUGCAUUUUAUAAAAAUCCAAUGCUGUUACUUACAUGCAGGAAUGGUGCAGUCUCUGGUGUUGUGAUAAAGUCUAUGGAAGUGUUUGCUGCACUUUGGACUAAAAUAAAGAGGGCCUGGAACACGGAAGAAGAAACAGAUCAUGAAGACUCACAGGUGAAAAGGAGCUCUGGGAGACGUGAGGAACGAGGAGAAAACUUACCUGUAAGGUGUUUUAGAAACUUGUCCUUCAUCCUCAGAUCUCGAGGAACAAUUUCUGUUUCAGGGAAAAGAAAGUAUUAUAUUACCUGAAGGACGCAUUUUUUAAAAAUGUGAUCUUAAGUGAAUGUUGAAGAAAAUUGGAGCUCCAUAUUAGCCAAGUUGCUUUGCACAAAAUAAAAAAGACUGGGGCCCUGGAUUGCAACACACGACAGUGAAGAAGACUCAAUAUCAGGGACAUUUAUUUUCCUUGAAAUAACAGUAACUGCUCCUGAAGCUCCAGGAUUAUGUCGGCUGUCUACCCCGUGGGAUGCAGACAGAGACCACGAAGUUACAGAGCCCUCUCCAUCUUCACUCCCCCGUUCAGGGCUCCUGGCUGAGCCCCGACUGUGUGUGAAGUCACGCCCUCUGAAGAGGAGCAUUCGCAUCCACAGCUGACCCCCUAGUGAGUCUUCAUUCACUCCUAACUUGACGCAGCCGGGAUAAAACUGACCUUAUCAUGUUUGACCUGAUUGUGUCACAAAAGCAUUAGACGCUUUCAUGCUUUCCUGGGAAAUUCCCCGUGGGCCACCACUCUGGGCAGGGCCAUGAAGGAGCCUGGAUGCUUCCUUUUCAGUUGGGAAAGCUUUGCUGGAAAUGCUUCCAUUUCCAAAGUGACGGUUGACAGUUUAGUGUGGAAACCACCGACCCGCGCCGCAGCUCACGCGCGCCAGAAGGAGACCAGGCGCUUCUCCGCCAGGCCUCAUGCGCG